rnacentral:tRNA from 1 species
GCGCCCGUAGCUCAGCUGGAUAGAGCGUCGGACUUCGGAUCCGUAGGUCGGGGGUUCAAAUCCCUCCGGGCGUGCCA